CGAACGCUGGCGGCGUGCUUAACACAUGCAAGUCGAACGGGUCUGCCCUGUUUUUUGCGGGGUGGGUCAGUGGCGAACGGGUGAGUAACACGUGAGUAACCUGCCCCUCACUUCUGGAUAACCGCUUGAAAGGGUGGCUAAUACGGGGUGUUCUGGCUGUGCCGCAUGGUGUGGCUGGGAAAGAUUCACUUUUGUGGUGUUUUGGUGGGGGAUGGGCUCGCGGCCUAUCAGCUUGUUGGUGGGGUGAUGGCCUGCCAAGGCUUUGACGGGUAGCCGGCCUGAGAGGGUGGGCGGUCACACUGGGACUGAGAUACGGCCCAGACUCCUGCGGGAGGCAGCAGUGGGGGGUAUUGCACAAUGGGCGGAAGCCUGAUGCAGCGACGUCGCGUGAGGGAUGGAGGCCUUCGGGUUGUGAACCUUUUUCGCCGGUGAAGAAGGUCCUGCUCUUUGUGGUGGGGUUGACGGUAGCCGGGUUAUGAAGCGCCGGCUAACUACGUG
rnacentral:rRNA from 1 species